CCCAGAGGGAUGGGGAGGAGAAUUGAAUGAAUGUAAAUCCCACAGGUUGAGAUAAAAACUGUCCAGUAACUAAGGUACAAUACAAAACUACUACUACUACCACCAAUAAUAAUAACAAUAAGGGAAAUAACAAAGGGAGGGAAUAUAAAACUGAAAGGGCAAAAAGAAAAGAAAACAAUAAACAUAAGUGAUGCACAAUACAAUUGCUCACAACCCACCAACUGCUACCCAGCCCCACCCGAGAAGCAAUCUGGGCCUUCUGGGUAAUUCCCCCCAGUUCAUAUACUGGGUAUGAUGUGCUGCAGUACAGAAUACCCCUUUGGCCGGUUUGCAUCAGGUGUCCUGUCUCUGCUUCCUCCCACAUUCUUGUGCCCAUUUUCUCUGGCAGAGCAUGAGAGACUGAAAAGUCCUUAAUCAGAGUAAGCAUUACUUAGCAACGACUAAAAACACUGAUGUGUUAUCAGCAUUGUUCUCAGACUAAAGGCAAAACACAGCACUGCACCAGCUACUAAGAAGGAGAAAAAUAACUGUUAAGCUGAACACAGGACAAGAACACAGUUGAUCUUUCCUUUCAGUCCACAUGUGCAGCACUGAUGGAGGUAGCUGGGACACCUGCCUGCAGUAGUGGUGCAGAGAAAUUUGCCACCACACAGACAAGCCGCUUAUCUUGUGUUAGAGAAACCUCAUUUACAAUUUGGGAAAUAUAAACUGGCAGUUAACCCACAGAUAACUGUUUAGGGAAGCCUAAUAGUAUGGGGUGCUAAGAAUGUGCUUUGGCUUAAUCUGAAUCUUUGCCCCUGCAAAUGUUGGAAUAUUUGCAGUAGAUGUCUUUCCACAUGGGGUAAAUGCUAUAAACUCUUUUUUUUUUUCAAGCAUUUGGUAUAUGUAGGUUUGAAUAAAGCCGUUCAUGCUCUGAAAUUAUACUGUUCUGGAAGGUUUCUGCUGUCUAUAUUUAGUUGAAAAAAAAUUUAUUUUUUUUUUUUUUUGUUACUACUGUUUUGGUUAUUGUGUGUCAGCAGCAGACUUGUGUUUCCUGUUAGCCUGGCUUCCUGGCUUACUGAGGCAGCUGAAAGUGGGGUCUGAAAGCUACAGGGGCCAGCUGCCUUAGCUUCACCAGCUUUGCCAGCUGGAGCAAUAUCAUAGGCUUUAUUCUAUCCAACGUGGAGUUUUAUAAGAGACAAGGCAGCAGGAUAGGAAGCAGGGAAGAAAUGGCAUAAAGGAGGAGAAACCACUAAUCUUCAGGUGAGUAGCGCUGCAGUUUCUCCAUGCUGUUUGUUUUCUUUAAAGAUGGGGGUGCAUAUAGUGUUCAGGAAAGUGAGGAACAGUAAUCAGACCUCCUGCUGUUGUGACUAGGGUCAAGGCUUUGCCUGUGUGCCCCCAAGUGGGGGGCAUGGUCCAGGUAAUACUGGGGCUCUGAAGCGCCUCAUAUUCCCAUGGCCGCACCAUAAGACCGUCUUGGCCCCAAACAAACAAGGGCCUCGCCUGCACAAUGUCUCCAAAGGCCUAAUGUCUUUAUAGAUGUGGGUGAGGAUGCUUUCCCACUGCCUUCCAGUGAAGUUUCCUGAUGUUGCCCGCUGGUUACCACAAGCUGACCUUGAAGUAAGGUGAAGCCCCAGAGCAGGUUGACAUAAUGGAGCUACAGGAUGGUGAAAAUAUUCAGACCUUUUCUGAGCAACCCUGCGGGAGUCAACCCCUGGCUCCCAGUCUCAAUUUAUGCCCAGAAAAAUCGCCCAGCUGAUAAAAUUCUCUGGAGCAACAGUGACAUCUUGUGGGUUAAUUUUAAGUGUGCUGUAUAUGGAAAUGUUCAUACCAGUCUCCUUCACCUUGCCUUGGGUGGAAAACAGCAGCCUGAAUUAAAACGGCAUCAACAGCCAUGUGCUUAGCAUACCCCUAGACCUGAUGGUAAAAUAUCUGAUGGAUGGCUAAAGAGCUUAUAAAGUCUUAUGCCAAAGCCUCGCAUGGAAAUUCAGGUAGCAGGAUCAUUUUUGUAAAUAGUAUUUUAAUUGGAAACUGAUUGGUAAGUGGUUAUUGCAUGUAUUUCAUUAAGAAGACACAUAGGAAGCUUACUUGUACAUGGACAACAGGAGGCUGAAGUUUUGUUAACAUGUAUUUUUGAAGAUGCCAAUGUCCUAGUUUUAAUUUGUGAGAAGGCAUCAGAUGAAUGUUGAUUCAGGUCUCCAUUCUCAUCACAGUACACACAUUUUUAUUUUCAUUUUCAUCACUGAGCAUAACCUUUCUACUGUGUUUGCCAAUCUGCUUGCAAGGCUUCAUUUGUUUCCAAUCUAAUUCUCCUUUUUUUUUUUUUUUUUUUUUAUCCUGGCAUAUUGAAUCUGUUGCUCCGGAGGAUUUUUCAGUCCAGCUGGGCUUCAGUUAUUCUCUGAUUUCCCAAGGCUCCAUUUUGAGUCCUACUGUGAUUUGCAUUUGUAGACUUUCAAUGGUGCUUUCUUGGGAAAUAAAGAGUGAAAAGCAGUACAGACUGAUGCAUCUUUGGCAUUUACAAUAAAAAAGACACCAAGUGGGACAAAUCCUGCAUAUCAUCCUUGGCAAAUUAAUUCCUCUGUGGCUUGGCCAUGCAUACAAACAAGUUACUGGGUGAUCACUUGUCACUACACGGAACUGGCAAGCAGGAAGACCCAAGAAAGAUGGAACAAGAGGAGCAGUUGAAAUCCCCAACCAGACAUACCCUGCAAAGCCUACCCAGUAUGGAAGGGCACUGAGUCAUGCACAGCCUUCGGCUGAGAGUUUUGGAGAACACAGCGGGAGACAGAACUACAGAGCAGCAAGCAGUAGCUGUAGACCCCGCCAGGUACCUUACCUUACACAGGGAGUGAUCUGUGUCUGAGUGUCUAAUAGCACACUCUAAUACUUGUGGAAAACGUGUUUCAUUUAAAAAAUUGGUUUUAUUUACUCUUUAGAGAAAAGUACAAGAAACAGUACUCUAUCUUCUCUGAAUCCAGUAGCAGAAUAUUAAUUGGCCUCACUGUGAACAGCAUCAGGCCUUUCUGUUCAAAUACUGGAAUCAUGCCACAAGAACAUAGAGAAAGUCUAUCACUGACAUAUUUUGUGAAGAAAGACAUUCCAGUUUCUGAAGCAAGCACCUAAGCCGUCUUCUGCAAGAAGCUGAGUGAUGCUCCCUGUCAGGAGUGCACCCCAGCUAAGCACUCUCAGUGUAGGGACUAUCAAAGGUUGGACAUGCAGAUGCAACAGCCACACACUGUGGCGUGGGCCUGCGGGAAUAUAUAUGGCUCCUGACAUGAUUAUCUUUUCACAAGGCUAACAAACUGUGAGUGCACAGGCUUCUGGUAGGCUGCAUUUUCAAGAUGUUGGUUCAUUCUCUGUUGGACUUGCUGCAUUCAGCCACACCUUUUCUCAAAGAAGGACACCCCAAAGAAGAGAGGACUAUCCUCCAGCUGAUGCUAGAAGCACUGAGUACAGUAGGAUUAUUUGCUACAUAUUGCAAGCCACAUUACAGACUAACUUGGCUAGCUUUUGCCUUUGCAAAAGUAGAUUUAAUAUCAAGUUUCAUCUAGAUUUAGAAUUUUUCUGAAGAUCUGCUAUCCACCUACUUGAUAUCUAUCCUACAUUUAUGCACUUCUGCUGCCUAGAUUUACAACUGAAUGUUAUAUUCAUAGAUUCUUAUACAAUAUUUUUUGUUUCAAUUUCCCAGUGUGUGGAGUUUGUCUUUGGAUAGGUCAACAGGACCAUGUGACACACAGUCUUGGAGCUUAUGUUAUUUAUGUAUAGUACCUGAAUGCAUCUUUUCCCCCUUUGCUGUUUUCAGCGGUGUCACACUUCGUUCAGUUUUCAGAAAGGCAACUGGCCACAGC